GGCAAGAAACAAACGAUUUUUAUUGAUUCGUAAUGUAUAGUAGAAGUAUCUAAUUUUGGUUUCAAUUUGGACAUUACUUGAUUAGAAACUAGUACUACAAAUCACAAUCUUUUAGAAUUAAGGUAUUUAGGAAGUGUGUGAGAAAAAUGUAGUUAAACGGAAAAACAGGUUGAAUCCCUAGUAUUAACAAUGUAUGUAAAAUGAGUACCAAUUAUUCUUAAGAUAUACCAAAAAAAAAAAUUCUUGUCUUUAAGAAAGUAUGAUUGAAAUGCAACUGUCCUUGAGAGUUUUGGGUGAUUCAGAUGGAAGAAGGAAGUUGCUACUUAUAAUAGGAGCUGUAUCAAUUGCUAAUCCAUUUGAAGUUAAUGAUCUAGAGUAUUCUUUGUUUAGUUAAGAACCUUCUUAUUUAAGUAGGAUACGUAACCAGAAGUUUAUGUCCUGUUCCACUACUGUGGUUCAGAAUAUAGCGAUUCUACUUUACGCUCGUAGGUGCAGCUGAUAGAGGGAUCAAAUGGUAUAUAGUUCAUUUUUGGUAGCUUGAAGAAAGGAAAGCUCCUACUCUAGUCAUUGAGUGACAUAUAAAAUAAGGAGACAUCUUUAUGCAUGCAAAAUAUCUAUUCCAAACAUAUAUGCUAUGGUUCCUUACUUCGACAGGGUACAAAUAUCUAAAUUGCUUCAGCGGCUGCAAUGGCUAUAACAAAAAUUGAGAAAAUGUCUCCUUUUAAUUGACGAUGCUCUCUUUUUAGCUUUCAAAGCCAGUAGUUUAAAGAUGACAUUUACAAUGAUUUUGUCAAAGUGAAUGUUUCCAAUCUCAGAGAAAGCUGUCACUUUUAUCUAAAGAAUCCUUGCAAAGUAUUUUGAGACCAUUUACAGUAAGAUGAAAAUGUGCUAUGAUGAUUACAACAAAUUUUAUGCUGUAAAGCUAGAUUAAGCAGCAGGUUGAAAGUUUCUAAUUUUUUUGACAAUAUAUAUCUACUAAUAGUUCCUUUAUUCGAUUCUUGACUGGUUGGAGUGAUGGAAUUUCAUCUUUAACUUUAGCCUGUGCAGAAAUAGGCUAUAUAUUUGAUGUUUUUCAUAAUACCUCCGUUCAUUUCUCUGCUGUCUGUAAUUGAUUGCCUAGUAUGUUUACUUAUGUUGAGAUAUCUGAUUUUGCACACUGGAGAGACUAUGUGAGACUGAAAGGCUGUCGUGAACAACCAUCUAGUAGAGGAAGUUGAAUCAAAAGAAUAAAUAAAUGGAUAGAAAAUUGACUCUAAUAAAUUCUUAGCUAAUGAAAUGGUUAAAUUGAUUAAAAAGAAAGGGAAUUUUUGGCAGUGUAGAUGUCCUCAUCUAUUUAGUGCCAGUAACUUGGUCAAUGUUUUUUCUUUCUUGGAUUGAUAUUAUUGCUAUCUUCAUUCCUGUACCCAGUGUUAUAGUGGUCCUGGCUGUCCGCUCAGAGGCUAUCUUGCUUGCAAAUCAUUCUGAUUCUAUAUGAAGACAAUGGUCAGUAACUGCAAUGAUUUCAAAUGAUCUGUUUAACGGGUGUAUUUUUUCAUGGGGAGUCAGGUAGGUUUUCUUUAUGUUACACUGUUAAUUCUUCUGUUGGAGACUUAUAUUUUAGUCGAGGAGUUUGUAUCUGUACUUGGUAAAUUUUUCAUUGAAUCUCAAUAUUUGUGAUUCUUCAUGUUGGACAAUCUUCUUGUAG